CCACUAUGAUCGAAAGAUUCAACGUACAGUAGCUGGAGGUAACAAAACUUACGAAGAGAGUCUGGCUCACAAUUGUUGCCAGUUUUCCUUUUUAGCAGACUGUAUUCUGUAUCUGUGUUGAACAACAGGAACUUUCUAAGACUUAAAGGAUAUGAUAAUGGGGGUGAAUGGCAGUUCCAGACAUUGGAGCACAACACGCAGAAAGACUCCCACAGUUGUGGAGUUCUGCUAUUGAAGUUUGCGGAGAACUACCUCACAAAAGGAGGGCUAAUGGAUGUGUUGACCAGUGAGUCUGCCAUGAGAACUGCAAGGAUGAACAUAGCCUGUGCUCUCCUUGAAUACAGAGGCAAUGCAGAGGAUUAUUGCUUGGUUUGUUCCAUGCUGGAAGAUGAUCCCAACAAAAGCACAAUUGAAAUGGUGCAGUGUGAUUUGUGCAGUCGCUGGGCACAUUUUCAAUGUGCAAAAUACAAUGAAAAAAUUGAAAUAGCAUAUGUUUGUAAAAAAUGUAUAGAUAAAUAAGUAUUGUUCUUUGGUCUUUGUUGGAGUGUUUUAUUGUUCAUUAAUGUAUGUAAAUUAAAGCCUUUUUAUUCUUCC